AGAGUUUGAUCAUGGCUCAGGACGAACGCUGGCGGCGUGCUUAACACAUGCAAGUCGAACGAUGAACCACCUUCGGGUGGGGAUUAGUGGCGAACGGGUGAGUAACACGUGGGCAAUCUGCCCUGCACUCUGGGACAAGCCCUGGAAACGGGGUCUAAUACCGGAUACUGAGCCGCUUGGGCAUCCAGGCGGUUCGAAAGCUCCGGCGGUGCAGGAUGAGCCCGCGGCCUAUCAGCUUGUUGGUGAGGUAACGGCUCACCAAGGCGGCGACGGGUAGCCGGCCUGAGAGGGCGACCGGCCACACUGGGACUGAGACACGGCCCAGACUCCUACGGGAGGCAGCAGUGGGGAAUAUUGCACAAUGGGCGAAAGCCUGAUGCAGCGACGCCGCGUGAGGGAUGACGGCCUUCGGGUUGUAAACCUCUUUCAGCAGGGAAGAAGCGAAAGUGACGGUACCUGCAGAAGAAGCGCCGGCUAACUACGUGCCAGCAGCCGCGGUAAUACGUAGGGCGCGAGCGUUGUCCGGAAUUAUUGGGCGUAAAGAGCUCGUAGGCGGCUUGUCGCGUCGGUUGUGAAAGCCCGGGGCUUAACCCCGGGUCUGCAGUCGAUACGGGCAGGCUAGAGUUCGGUAGGGGAGAUCGGAAUUCCUGGUGUAGCGGUGAAAUGCGCAGAUAUCAGGAGGAACACCGGUGGCGAAGGCGGAUCUCUGGGCCGAUACUGACGCUGAGGAGCGAAAGCGUGGGGAGCGAACAGGAUUAGAUACCCUGGUAGUCCACGCCGUAAACGGUGGGCACUAGGUGUGGGCGACAUUCCACGUCGUCCGUGCCGCAGCUAACGCAUUAAGUGCCCCGCCUGGGGAGUACGGCCGCAAGGCUAAAACUCAAAUGAAUUGACGG
rnacentral:rRNA from 1 species